rnacentral:rRNA from 1 species
AACGAACGCUGGCGGCAGGCUUAACACAUGCAAGUCGAGCGCCCCGCAAGGGGAGCGGCAGACGGGUGAGUAACGCGUGGGAAUCUACCCAUCACUACGGAACAACACCGGGAAAAUGGAGCUAAUACCGUGUACGUCCAUAGGGAGAAAGAUGUAUCGGUGAUGGAUGAGGCCGCGUGGGAUUAGCUAGUUGGUGGGGUAAUGGCCCACGAAUGUGACGAUCCAUAGCUGGACGGAGGGGAUGGUCAGCCACACUGGGACUGGGACACGGCCCAGACUCCUAAGGGAGGCAGCAGUGGGGAAUAUUGGACAAUGGGCGCAACCCUGAUCCAGCCAUGCCGCGUGAGUGAUGAAGGCCCUAGGGUUGUAAAGCUCUUUCACCGGUGAAGAUAAUGACGGUAACCGGAGAAGAAGCCCCGGCUAACUUCGUGCCAGCAGCCGCCGUAA